rnacentral:rRNA from 1 species
UACGUAGGGGGCAAGCGUUGUCCGGAUUUAUUGGGCGUAAAGAGCGUGUAGGCGGCCAUGUAGGUCCGUUGUGAAAACUCGAGGCUCAACCUCGAGACGCCGAUGGAAACCAUCUGGCUAGAGUCCGGAAGAGGAGAGUGGAAUUCCCGGUGUAGCGGUGAAAUGCGCAGAUAUCGGGAAGAACACCCGUGGCUAAGGCGGCUCUCUAGUACGGUACUGACGCUGAGACGCGAAAACGUGGGGAGCGAACAGG